rnacentral:pre_miRNA from 1 species
GUCGGGAAGAGGAUGAAUUGAGUGUCCAAGAACCGUGGGCAUGGGAACAUGGAGGAAAGGAUCCGUUUGGUGUUUUCCCGAUGCCUCCCAUGCCUAUUGUUCUUAGUUGCUCCUUCCCCUUACUUUUGGCU